rnacentral:rRNA from 1 species
GAUGAACGCUGGCGGCGUGCCUAAUACAUGCAAGUCGAGCGAACUGAUUAGAAGCUUGCUUCUAUGACGUUAGCGGCGGACGGGUGAGUAACACGUGGGCAACCUGCCUGUAAGACUGGGAUAACUUCGGGAAACCGAAGCUAAUACCGGAUAGGAUCUUCUCCUUCAUGGGAGAUGAUUGAAAGAUGGUUUCGGCUAUCACUUACAGAUGGGCCCGCGGUGCAUUAGCUAGUUGGUGAGGUAACGGCUCACCAAGGCAACGAUGCAUAGCCGACCUGAGAGGGUGAUCGGCCACACUGGGACUGAGACACGGCCCAGACUCCUACGGGAGGCAGCAGUAGGGAAUCUUCCGCAAUGGACGAAAGUCUGACGGAGCAACGCCGCGUGAGUGAUGAAGGCUUUCGGGUCGUAAAACUCUGUUGUUAGGGAAGAACAAGUACGAGAGUAACUGCUCGUACCUUGACGGUACCUAACCAGAAAGCCACGGCUAACUACGUGCCAGCAGCCGCGGUAAGAC